AAUUCAACUUGUUUCAAAACUCACAGCUAUAUAUAUGAUAUACGCUCUUAACUAUUAAGAAUUCCUACUAUUCAUGUUAUUGAAAACAUUUCUGAUGAGUGAUAUUUAAACUAACAGUACCUCUUUAAUUUCAUGAUAGUGAAAACUUGUUGAAACAAAACAGGCAUCUGGAUUUGCUCCAGCAAGACUGAGAAUCUUUUAAGACGCUGGAUCUUCACUGUUCGAAUAAACAGCAUAUCACUGCAGUGAAGUAAUUCCAAAAUGACACCUUAAAAAUAAAACAUCCACUGCAACUGCUCUCUCUGAGAACUUCAGGAAUUUCCUGAAAAACGGGAUCUUCAGUGUUAUGCAAAAUUGGAUUGAAUUCAUCACUACUGUUUUUGUUUCCAUGCCAGCCUGUGUCCAUCUCUGCUGGAUUGAGAUUCUGCCGGUGGUGUCACUGCUCUGUCUGGUGGCUUUGAGUCCACUAAGAGCUCGUUUAAGAAUGGUCCAUGUCUUUCUUGUGCUGAGGAGCACAGAGCUGGAUGCAGCACUGCAGCCAGCUGUUUGCUACCAGCAAUGAACACAGAAGGGUCUGUGACAGCAACACUCCAAGUUAUACUGAUCCAGAUCUUUGUAUGGAGAAAAGAAGCUGUACAAAAUAGGAAGGAUGCCCAACAGCUCCAUAAGGGAAUUUGGACCAAGCUACCUGCAGCUGAGAGGAGUAAUUUGACAGUCUAGAGGACCAGUGCAAUGCAGUGAGCAGCUGGAACCUUGGGAGGCAAAGAGUUUCUGGGAUACAGGAAUCAAAUCAAAGUCACAUGUGAACUUGAAUGUCUCAAGGACAAGAAGCCAGUGGCCAGGCAGGGGUUCGUGCCAACCGUUCUAAAAUGUCAGCAUUGCUCGUGCCCCAUGGCUCAGGGACACAUUAUCUUUUCUGGGUCAGGCAGCCUGAAAAUAUCCCUCUGGUGCAAACAGGUGAUCCAAAACCUGGCAACUCAGCUAGUCCCAUGCCCUAUAUAUAUGUCUCUGUGAACGUGCUGCAACAUAAGGCUGGACUUACAUACUUGUCUAACAGCAAGAGGAGACACAGACACACAGCUUGUGUCAUCUGGAGCUGAGGAGGAGCUGUGGACCGUGGGCUAAUUAGUUGUGGGCUAAUGAGGAGAGCAGCUGCAACCCCCAGGUAAAUCCUGGCUGCAAAAGGACAGCUCAUUCCUCUGGCACAGAUAUCACUGCUGAGGUCUCCUCAAAGCCGAAGACUUUCUUAUUGAAAGUCAGUUUGCAUUGUCCCUGACACAUGUCACUGUGGAAAGUUCCUAUCCACCUAUUUGCUAGAUUUUACCAAAUAUAUAUAUAUGUGUGUGUGUAUGUGUGUCUGUGUGUCUCUGUGACACUGCAUAGGAGCAAGUGAAAGGACAUUUUGACUGGAUUUCUCCAGAAGAAGCACUGUACAUUUAUUUAAUCUACCUACCGAUAAUGCAGCUAUA